GAUGGCACCGACAAUUUCGAGUUCAGUUGUCAAUCAGCAAGAACUUGCGAUUUUUGGUUGAUAGAUGGCACCGGCAGCCCGCCCAAUUCUCCCUCCUACCAAAAUUUAAAUCGCAAUAUCUUCUUAAAUGAUUCGUUUUAUAAAGAAAAAAUUUGAUGGUUACAAUCGCCUUUUAAAGCUGCAUUUAAUGGUGUAUUUUUUUAUUUUUCCAUGAAAAUAGCCCACAGUGACACCCUUUAACAAGGCGGGAUAGGGAAACAGUCCCUUCCUUAACAAUAGAGAAGUCCAUUGAUACACUCGAUUGUUGUUUGAAGGUGUAUUGCCACCAGACGUCCUAUGGUAAACCCACUAUCAGCAGCCUUACAGUGUGCUUCAUAAAUACAUCAACCCCUGAGACAACAUUAUCGUUGGAAAUUGUGUUUUUGUUGUGGUUUUUUUCUCCACUCUUAUUAUCCAUAUGCAAUUUUCACACUACUUCAUUACCUUCAUGGAGUGAUAUUUUAUCAUCCUGGAAAAAGGAUUCUAUAAAUUGACGACUUCUAAUAUACAGCUGAUAACGAGAUUUAAUAUAUUUACAUUUCAGAAUGAGCUUCCAAUUUGAAGUUGUGAGUGUUUUAUCAGAUUAUAGAUUCCUACUUUGAAAACCAAACUAUUUCCUUCUACAAAUGGAUUUUGAAGUAUCAUGUGCAUGUGGUAUUAUGUACUCUAUGAUAUCUUUGUGAAGCCUUCAAUUGGCAUUAUACAAAAAAAAAAUACCAUAGAAGGAAGUUCUUGCAGGAUCUGUUAUCGUCGAUAACUUAUCGACCGUCUAUGUUAUGCAGUAAUUAGAUCUGCAGUUUAGUUUGAAACUUUAACUUAGAAAUAUGCUCAGCGUAGAAUUUAUAUGUAAAAUGAUUGAUUGGAAAAAGUUCCUGGUUGAGACAAGAGAUUUUAAAAAAUGAUACUGUUUGGAAGGACGACCGGCAAUUUCAAGAUUCAUUUAUUUCCUUCCACAUUAUACUAUUUAUAUAUAUAUUUUAAUUGAAUUGCAUAUCUGGGCUCCCUUCUUUUCUGUGGCCCCGUUUCCCCUUGACUCGUGAUAAGCCCGUAGGGGGUCAUGCCCCUACUGUGAUCAGCAGUAAAGGUU